rfam:Myotis davidii contig176914, whole genome shotgun sequence.
GGCAGUUCUCAGGUGACAGACCCCAGAAUUGGGCUCCCUCCUUUCUAGUUCUGGGGUGCAUCACCUGAGAACCGCU